GCAUUGUGGCUCAGUGGUUAAAUAGCUCCUGAUUCUGGAUGCUUAUGUAAUCUGGUGGUUGUGGGUUUGAAUCCUACCUUUUGCA